rnacentral:rRNA from 1 species
AGUGAACGCUGGCGGUAGGCCUAACACAUGCAAGUUGAACGGCAGCACAGUAAGAGCUUGCUCUUACGGGUGGCGAGUGGCGGACGGGUGAGGAAUACAUCGGAAUCUACUUUUUCGUGGGGGAUAACGUAGGGAAACUUACGCUAAUACCGCAUACGACCUACGGGUGAAAGCAGGGGAUCUUCGGACCUUGCGCGAUUGAAUGAGCCGAUGUCGGAUUAGCUAGUUGGCGGGGUAAAGGCCCACCAAGGCGACGAUCCGUAGCUGGUCUGAGAGGAUGAUCAGCCACACUGGAACUGAGACACGGUCCAGACUCCUACGGGAGGCAGCAGAGGGGAAUAUUGGACAAUGGGCGCAAGCCUGAUCCAGCCAUACCGCGUGGGUGAAGAAGGCCUUCGGGUUGUAAAGCCCUUUUGUUGGGAAAGAAAAGCAGCAGGUUAAUACCCCGCUGUUCUGACGGUACCCAAAGAAUAAGCACCGGCUAACUUCGUG